UUUAUGCGCUUUUGAAAUUUACCCUGCGUAACCGAAUACUUUUCUUUGUAGGAGUUAUCUCCCCAAACACUGUUUUCCUUGUGUCCACAACUCCUUCGCAACCGUAAAAGAUUACGACAAAUUUAUUUUAUAAAAUUGCUCCUUAUAUCCUUCGCAUGAUUUGUCCAAUUUCGACCGAAGCAAUAUGAACGCUCAAUAUGAGAGUUAUUUCCCUUUUUGUAUUUGAAAUUUUGAAAUGUAUUUUAAACUGGAACACCAUACGUGAUAGAGACCUAGGAUCUUUUGAUUUGAGGUCCUUGGUCCAAAAAAAUGAAAAUUAGGUCAAGGUCAAAGGUCAAGGUCAUA
rnacentral:lncRNA from 1 species